CGUCAGGACGGCAGUCUGAUGCAGCACGCCGCGUGAGUGAUGACGGCCUUCGGAUUGUAAAGCUCUGUUCUUUGGGACGAUAAUGACGGGACCCAAGGAGGAAGCCACGGAUAAUUACUUGCCAGCAGCCGCGGUAAUACUACUAGUGGCAAGCGUUGUCCGGAUUUACUGUUGGUAAAGGGUGCGUAAAUGGAUAUUUAAAUCAGAUGUGAAAGCCCUGGGCUCAACCUGAGGUCUGCAUUUGAAACUGGAUGUCUAAAGUGCGUUGGAAGUAGGUGAAAUUGCUAGUGUAGGGGGGAAGUGGGAAUAGAUUAGGAAGAACACCAUGGGCGAAGGCGACUUACUGGAUCGGAACUGACCCUGAGGCUCUGGAGCGUGAGCAGCAAACAGGAUUAGAUACCCUGGUAGUCCACGCCAUAAACGAUGAUGACUAUGUGUAGGGGGUAUCGACUCCCCCUGUGCCGCAGGUAAUUCCAUACUUACUCGGCCUGGCAAGUACGAUCGCCAGAUUACCAGUCAAGUGAAUUGACGGGGUUGAGACUCAAAUGAAUUGACGG
rnacentral:rRNA from 1 species